AACCGUUUAAAUCUGAGCAUGCGCAACUCACAUCUGCACUCGACUCACAUUGGGUAGUGACACCGUUUAUGAUACAACAUCUGCACCCUGUUACCUUCCCUCUUAACGGCUGUAUCACAGAGAUAGUCGAGCACAACAAUGUUGUUUGCAUUCAACAACUACAGCUAUAAGGCUAUAUUAGUGCCCGAAGGUGUCUAUGCCUGAAGGCCUUUGUGUGUUUCAAACAAAUGAGUUGGUGUGAUGGAUAAUACAACCAUGUCUUAGGUCAAAAGUGUCAAAAGGCAGUUAGAGCCGACUCAUGGCUGCAUCCCACUGGCUGCCCAAUCAAUCAAUCAAUCAAUCGUGGGGUUGAAAUCGCCCCUCACCACGAACAGUAACAGAAUGAAUUGUGUGAAGAAUAAAAUGACAACUUAAAAGAGUUCAAAUUGUCUGUUUUGUUGGACAAUCUGACAAGCCCGUCAUUUAAAACCACCUACGCGUGAUCCGCGGCAAAUCCGUGAGGUAGGGCGCAGAGCAGAGAGGCAAAGGUCAAAGUUGAAAUAAUUUGAACUUCGAGCCCAGCGCACAGCGAGAAAUCCAACAUGCUAGUUGGGUGGCACCGCCCUCCCCCGUAAAAAACAAUGGAACCGCGGUUUCACCUUGGAUCAUGUGUAGGCGGCUUAACGGACACACACAAACCAUUUCCUAGUGAGCAUGUGAAAGUAUCUCGUGCUCACGAGAAACCAAUCUAAGGCUAACACAAUGAUGCUAACAAAGUACUGCUAACAUCAUGCGGCUAAUGUUAAUAUUUCACAUUCACAGCAUGACAUUAUUUGUUGAUGAUACUAUCAGGGACAUUUCGUUGCGUUUUCAGAAAGAUGAAUACCGCACAAGAAAUGUUUUUCGUGAGCACACGAAAGAAAAAGAAAACUGACACUUACGCUGAAUGUAAGGGAUUCUGUGAACAUACAGAGAUCUCAGGAGCGAGUAGUUGUUGAAUGCUAACACAUUGCUGUUGUUAUAACAUGAAAGAUGUUCAAUUUUGGGAUGAGACUUCGAUUUUUCACUUUUUGCUAAAGGACCAGUGUAGCACGUAGAAAAAAUUGUUAUUCACUCUUCAUGCUGACCUGCUCUGCAGUGUUCAGUAUACUUGUUUCUUUAGGCAUUAAACUGAACAUAGACUGUACGUGGCAUUGCUGUGGUAAUAAGCUAACAGCAGAUCUUUACAACUAAAUCAUCACUACUAAAACUGUCCACUGUCGCUUUACUUUUCGUAUGAGCCGUUUCAUUUCGCUCUCUCUUAAAACUCGUAAUGAUUCCACUUGAAAACACUUUACACUAUGCAAAAUGUUUCACUGCCUCACUGCAAACACCGUACAGAGCCACACCUUUCUCAAACAGUUGUGUGUAAUAUCUUGAACUUUUUUCUUUUCUUUCUUUUAUUGCAUAUUUCCAGUGUGUACAGAACAGAAAUGUAUGUUUUAAUAAGAACUGCUUUUUAAUGACGCUGACAGGAGCCAUUAGAUGUUUGAGAAAGCAUCGUGUUUUUUUUGUUGUUGCUGUAAAUAUAUUUGACAACUUUUCUUGAAAUAAAUGAACAAAACUAUGA